rnacentral:rRNA from 1 species
CCCUUAGACGUUCUGGGCCGCACGCGCGCUACACUGACCAGUGCAACAAGCAUCCGUCCUUGGCCGACAGGCCCGGGCAAUCUUUGAACGGUGGUCGUGAUGGGGAUAGACUUUUGCAAUUUUUGGUCUUCAACGAGGAAUUCCUAGUAAACGCAAGUCAUCAACUUGCAUUGAUUACGUCCCUGCCCUUUGUACACACCGCCCGUCGCACCUACCGAUUGAAUGGUCCGGUGAAGCCUCCGGAUUGGCGCGCACCUCGGUGCCGCCGAGAAGUUGGCUAAACCUUACCAUUUAGAGGAAGGUGAAGUCGUAACA